GGGCAUUCUUACACACACCAGGGUUCCCCCAGUCAGUUCAAGGGCACUCCCUAAUCAAUGACUGGAAGACUUACCGCUGAGGACUAAGCCUUUAACUAAGUCUAACACAUGGGGCUUUGGAGAACAUUCCAGAUCUAAACUAUAGCAGCACUCCUGUUAUAAAUGGGUGAACCUAGAUUCCCAGAUACAUGUUUUGCUUCUUUAAUUUGCUCCUUUCCUCCUCCCUAUCCCCUAAAUGAAGAUUUCCCUCAAUUUUCUGUCUUUGACUAAUGCUGUCUCUGCCAUCUCUUUGUGGGGAUUGUCAACCACAUCCAUGAUUUCAAUUCUUAUUUCAGAUGACUCCUAUAUUUGCAAUUUUAACCCUGGCAUCUUACUUGAAAUUUUGCCUCUUAAUUUCAGCUUCCUGCUGGAUAUUUCCCUCCAGGUGUCCCAUAAAUUAGGCCAAUGUUGUACAAUUUCACAUGGCACUAUUCACAUAAGAAUGAAAUGGGGUGUACAAUGUGGCAGCCUUGCCAAGUAUUUCAAAUUUGACAGGUUCAGAGAGGAAUGUAGAAGCACUAGGAUGCCAUACCCUAUUAGCUUCCUCUCCAAGUGAUCUAAUUUCCAGUGAUAUUACAUUAAGGAUCAUACUUCAGUUGGUUUUCCAGGCUUAAUCAGCUACUUUAAAUACAUCAAUAGUCAAAUUGUUUAUCAUUUAACAUGUUUUACUUCAAAAUAUUACCCAAUUUUAAUCCUUUUAAGACUUCAAAAGAAAUCAUAAAAAUUUUUUAAAAAUGUAGGAUGCUGAGGUGUGAAGAUCUUAAAUUUGAGGCCAGCCUGGGCAACUUGGCAAGACGCUUGUCUCAAAGUAAAUUAAAAAAAAAAAACUUUAAAAACUGUAUUUAAUUUCCCUAUAUUAUACAAGGAAAUAGAAUUUAUAAGAGUAAUUUAUGAUAUUUCAGAUCUUAUACAUUUUGAUAGCUGACAACCUAUAUGUAUACCUUUGAUAGUAAAUAGAUGUUAACUAAUCUGAAACCAUUUGAAAUGUUGAUUAGCUAGUUUAUAGUUAUAGUUAGUCUACUUGAUUGCAAGACAUCUAUUGUAAGUAAAUCAUAAUAGCAAAUGGCAAAUUAUGAAUAUUGUAUCUGGUUAUUUUCAUACAACUCUGAUCAUAGUGAUGAUUCAUAGUUAUCAAAUUUUAAGUAAUGGUAUUAAAAUCACUUUGUGACUAAAAUGAAUGUUAAAGGCAAAACACUAUAAUUCACAACUUCAGAACAAUGGAAAUAUUCAAUACUGGACUUCAGUUCUUCUAACCUCUGGAUUUGUGAUAUUUGGUAAACCAGGAAUCCUGAGAAUUUUCUUGCAUUUUAAAUAUGUCUUUGAACCAUCUAGGAUUAUGUUAACAGUUACACAAUUAUGAGGACUGAGUUGAACUGCAAGUUUGGUUCACAAUCUUUAUCAGUGAGUUAUUCUUCUCAAAGACAUAGUAUCCUUUUGAAUUUUUUGAAUAAAGCUGAAAAGCUGGUCAUCAUAAUGCCUACAUUUCUUAAUCCUUAUAUUUUGUCAUUUGGAAUUUUUAUAAGUAGCAAUGACACACUAAAAUGUGCACAAUUAUUCUUAAUUUUUAAGUUGUCUUCCAACAAAAAAAAUGGAAAAAGAAAGAAAAUCCUGGAAUUCUCUAAAUGAAUAUAUAAUAGUCCAUUUAUUAAUUUCUAGAAGUGGAUAUAUUAACUGUGGUCUAUUUGAGUCUAGUCUUUGUCUUACCAUGUAAUAUACACUUAUAAUUUUCAAGUUUGUUAUUAAAC
rnacentral:lncRNA from 1 species